rnacentral:rRNA from 1 species
CCCUACGGGGGGCAGCAGUAGGGAAUAUUGCUCAAUGGGGGAAACCCUGAAGCAGCAACGCCGCGGGGAGGAUGAAGGUUUUCGGAUUGUAAACUCCUUUUGUUAGAGAAGAUAAUGACGGUAUCUAACGAAUAAGCACCGGCUAACUCCGUGCCAGCAGCCGCGGUAAUACGGAGGGUGCAAGCGUUACUCGGAAUCACUGGGCGUAAAGAGCGCGUAGGCGGGAUAGGAAGACAGAUGGGAAAUCCUAUGGCUUAACCAUAGAACUGCAUUUGAAACGGAUAUGCUAGAGUUUGGGAGAGGAA